rnacentral:rRNA from 1 species
UACGUAGGGUGCAAGCGUUAAUCGGAAUUACUGGGCGUAAAGCGUGCGCAGGCGGCUUUGCAAGACAGAUGUGAAAUCCCCGGGCUUAACCUGGGAACUGCAUUUGUGACUGCAUGGCUGGAGUGCGGCAGAGGGGGAUGGAAUCCGCGUGUAGCAGUGAAAUGCGUAGAUAUGCGGAGGAACACCGAUGGCGAAGGCAUCCCCUGGGCCUGCACUGACGCUCAUGCACGAAAGCGUGGGGAGCAAACAGG